rnacentral:rRNA from 1 species
UGACAGUACUCCUACGGGGAGGCAGCAGUGGGGGAAUAUUGCACAAUGGGCGCAAGCCUGAUGCAGCCAUGCCGCGUGUGUGAAGAAGGCCUUCGGGUUGUAAAGCACUUUCAGUCGUGAGGAAGGUAGUGUAGUUAAUAGCUGCAGUAUUUGACGUUAGCGACAGAAGAAGCACCGGCUAACUCCGUGCCAGCAGCCGCGGUAAUACGGAGGGUGCGAGCGUUAAUCGGAAUUACUGGGCGUAAAGCGCAUGCAGGUGGUUUGUUAAGUCAGAUGUGAAAGACCCGGGGCUCAACCUCGGAAUAGCAUUUGAAACUGGCAGACUAGAGUACUGUAGAGGGGGGUAGGAAUUUCAGGUGUAGCGGUGAAAUGCGUAGAGAUCUGAAGGAAUACCGGUGGCGAAGGCGGCCCCCUGGACAGAUACUGACACUCAGAUGCGAAAGCGUGGGGAGCAAACAGGAUUAGAUACCCUGGUAG